AUAGCCGCAGUACUCUAACUGUGCUAAGGUAGCAUAAUAAUUUGUCUCUUAAUUAGAGAAUGGAAUAAACGAGAAAACAACACUAUUACUUUUUUCGUAUACAAAAAGAAUUUGAUAUUUGCUUCAAAAAGAGCAACUUUUUAAAAAGACGAUAAGACCCUGUAAAACUUUAUUCAAACCUGGUACAUCUGCUUUUUAGGAAAAAGACCUACUUUUUGAAUUAAGCUGGGGCGGCCUCUAAAAUUAAAUACUUUAGAAAAUUUAACACUUAUACGUGAAAAUAAAGAUCUAUUAUUUUAAAGAUUUAGAACAAGUUACUUUAGGGAUAACAGCACAAUUUUCUCAUAUAGUUCGGAUAGAAGAGAAAGACUUGUGACCUCGAUGUUGAAUUUUGAGGAGCCUAANUUAAGCAAAAAUAAAUUAAGGGAGUCUGUUCGACUUUUAAACCCUCA
rnacentral:rRNA from 1 species